CAAAUGAGAUACAGGUUGAAGACAAGAAAGUGGAUGCCAUGAGAAUACACUUUGAUAAUUCAUGCCACCUGAAGGAAACACCAAUUUGCAUUUAGAAAUAUUAUACAGGAAAUCGAUCCUGUUUGCCUUGAUUCAGAUCCACAUCUCAGCAACAAACAGUUGUCUUCCUGUGAAGGGUCCGGUUCUACUAUAAGUCCCAUAUGCAAGCGUAUACAUGCAAAAGCCAGGACUUGCCUGAUUCUGCAUAUUCAGUAGUAAUUAGUGUGAUCAAAUCAUCCUCACAAAUGGCUACUUACCAG
rnacentral:lncRNA from 11 species